CCUACGGGAGGCAGCAGUGGGGAAUAUUGGACAAUGGGCGCAAGCCUGACCCAGCAACGCCGCGUGAAGGAAGAAGGCCUUCGGGUUGUAAACUUCUUUUCUCAGGGACGAAGCAAGUGAAGGUACCUGCGGAAUACACCGUGGCUAACUACGUGCCAGCCGCCGCGGUAAUCCGUAGGUUGCAAGCGUUACCCGGAUUUGGUGGGGGUAACGGUCGUGUAGGCGGGAAAGCAAGGCAGAUGUGAAAACCAUGGGCUCAACCUGUGGCCUGCACUUGAAACUGGUUUUCGUGAGUGCUGGAGAGGCAGACGGAAUGCCUGGUGUAGCGGUGAAAUGCGUAGAUAUCAGGAGGAACACCGGUGGCGAAGGCGGUCUCCUGGACAGCAACUGACGCUGAGGCGCGAAAGCGUGGGGAGCAAACAGGAUUAGAUACCCUUGUAGUC
rnacentral:rRNA from 1 species